rnacentral:lncRNA from 1 species
CUAAAAGCGGGAAAUAAGUCAAAAACCACAUACUUUCAUUUGAUUUUGUAUCUAUAGAUAGCAUCCUACUUUCAUUUCUUUCUAAAAUUGCAUUAUAUUUGAAAUAGUUUUUGUAACACUCGGUUUUAAAUCGCUUUAUUAUUCGGGGUCGUGGCCCGAAUAUCAGUUGUCACAAGGCUUAGGGCCUUGGGAAAAGAGAGAAUUGGACCCUUUUUGGAUGUGGGUAGUAUAUAUUAGGUGAUCCGAGAGUUCGGUUGCGUUUCGGAGCCCAAGGGUAUAACCGUAAAUUGUCAGUUCGGGCCUUUUAUGAAUUUUGGGUUUUUGCUCGGAAAAUCUUAAGGCGAUGAUGAGUUGAUAGAAGUGUAGAGAUUUUUUUUUACCUUUCGGUGGAUAUAAAGAACGUCUAAAAUGGAUUUAGAACGAAGGAGUUACAGCCGUUUGAAAUUUAAGUGUUUGGAGCUUCGAUGAGUAUGUGCGGCGUAGUGGAUGAAGUGGUCGCGAGUGGCAAUUGAGUACGCCGGGAGUACUCAGGGGUACGCGGGGCAUACUACCUUCAGCUUGAACUUUAAUUUUUAGGGUCCUGACCCUAUUUAAGCUUCUUUUAUCCAUUGGGCCUUGCCUCUUAUUAGCCUCCAUACCUCUUAAACCCUAAUCUCGACCCUUAGCCACCAUCUUCGAGUUCUUAAGCUAUUGUGAGGAAUCUUGGAGUGUUUUUAUGCAUUUUGAAGAGAUUGGAGCUUGUUGAAGAAUCAUCACUUGGAGUGGAGCUUGGAAAUCCAGAAGUUACUCAUCUUUUGCAACAUAUUGAAGGUAAAAAGUUUUAAUCUUGUCAUCUCUUUUGGGUGGAUCUAGUUUGGGGUGGUUUGUGGCAUAUUUUGGUCUCUUUGGUUGCCUUUAUGAGAAUGAGUUUGCUCCAAGAGUUUGGUCCCUAGAUCUGGACGUUUUAGGUCUAAAAUGCAUAAAAAUGCAAUCUUGAUGGAUAAUAUCAACCUAUGCUUGAGUAGUAGUUUCUUUAUUGAAGUUGUAAACUUAGAACUUGUAUUGGGACCCCUUGAGUCAUGAAAAAUCUCAAAGUCAACGACUUUAUGGAUUAAGGCAUGAUUUGGAACAAGCUCUGAGUAUUAGACACUUUGGCUUAAGGGAUUAAGACCUUUUCUAAGUGGAUUGUGAGCAUUGUGCGUAUGCAGGGUGUACCUCUUGGUGCGCAACACGUACUGGGUCAACUCGUUGUACGCAGGGCGUACCAAUUAAGUAUGCGGGGCAUACUCAGACUGUUUGGGCUUUCUUGAUUUGUUGACCUUUUGACCUUCAACCAUUGACCAAAGUUGACCAAUGUAUAUUUUGGGCCUUUAGGGUAUUGGGUCUUCUCAGAUUAGGCCCAUGAUGGUUUUGGGCCCAAUUUGGAAAAUUAGGCCAUAAUUAGAUUUUGGGUGAUUAUUUUAGAUUUUGGGAUUUUUGGACAACUGGAUUGGGCCUUGGCCUUGGGCCAAAUUCGGGAAAGGGUAGAAAAGGUCUUUUACCCUAAUUUAGACGCUUAGUGUGAGUAGGGAUCUAAUUAUUAAUUAGAUGAUAUUUUAUGAUUGAUAGCAUGAGGAUUUUAGCGGAUCUGCAUCCAGAGAGUUAUCUGUGGGUUUCAACAGUCUGAGGUGAGUCUCCUCACUGUAUCUAUGGGUCAAAGGCACCAAUGCCGACCUAUUGGCUUAUGUAUUGUUGAAAGACCAAGGGGUGGCCUUUGGUAUUGUAUGAAAGACCCGGAAGUGGCUCCUAGUAAAUUUGUAUGCAAGACCAGGGUUCGGAUCCUGGCAGUUAAGUAGAUUGUUAAUUGUAGAAUCUAUGUUUGUUGUCUUUGUGAUGCUUGAAUGGAAAACUAUGAGGUGACUCUUGGCACUUGUCUGUAAGACCAAGGGUUUUGGCCACGGUUUUGCUAGGAAAGACCUUGAUAUGGCUCAUGGCAUAAUGGCAAAACAAUGGUUGACAUAUAUUGUAUGUAUGGUAUGUGGUAUUUUGAGGGAACUCACUAAGCUUUGUGUUUACGAUUUAUUGUUUAUGGUUCUAGGUACUUCUGGUUCAAAAGGGAAGGGUCGGCUUGAUCGCAACGCAUAAACCCAUGUUUUUCCACAACUUUGUGAUUUUGAGAUUGGUAUCAGGGCCUUGGUUUGAGGGAUUCGGGCAUACUCUCGAGUGUGACUGAACUUAAACUGAAGAAUUGAUAAGUUUCUUGAAAAGAAAACGUGUUUUAAAAGAUUUUUGUAAAAGGAAAGAAAUUUCUAAUAGGACUUUUGUAAAGACACAGGGGUUGUGAUGCGUGCAAUCGGCCAAGCUCAAGUAAGUGAUUCCCAAAAUACUCAUACAUGUCUAUUAUGAUUAUAUGUUAUGAGAAUUGAAUGCUAAUUUAGGGCUAAGGAUCUGCUCAGGAUUUCAUGCUAGGAGAGAUGUCUUCAUAUGCCUGAUUGUUAAGCUUUAGGAUUGCAUGCUAGUAUGGUUUUCAAAUAAUCGGAUAGAAUGGCUUGAUUAGUUGGCACAUUAGUUAGAUUUUUUUUAUGCCAGAAUGUCGUUUGUUUUGUGCUUUGUAGGACUCCUAGUGACGUGGGUUAGCUACCAAGUGAAUAUGUCAAGUCAAAUGUUGCAUAGGUUAAAUAAUCUUAGAGUGAUGGAUUUAACCCUGUUACGUAGCUCUUGUCUGAGUACAACCGUUGUAGGGAUGAGUUUGUUACUCGAAGGAUUAUCUAAGUUUUGUUGCAUGUGAUUUUAUUCAGUAAGUGACUAACUGACAUUAUGGGGAGUACUUCAACAGAUUAUGGCAGGGUGAGGUCGGGAACCUAGGAAAGCCUAUGAAGUGCUUCAGUGGGUUUAGUUGCGCUGUUUAGCGAUCAUUUGGAGUAUCAGUUUGAGAAGGUGACUUAGAAGUAUGGAUAAGUGUGGAAUGUAAUAUUAGGCCUGUACUACUGAAAGUACAUGAUCCAUACUCGAAUCGGAGAAAGUUUCGGAUAAUCUAAGAAACCUGUGGGAUAAAGAUCCUCGGAUACGCUCAUCAUUUUCAUGUUGUUUUUCAGUAUGGUGAUGGGCACUCAGGAAGGAGAUUCAGGUUCUGGUUCCGAAUUAGGUGUAGGUACCGAGUCGAUUAGCGAGUAUAUGCGGGAGUUCAUCUCGUCGGAGAUUACCCGUAGUAUGAUGGAGCAGACUCCUGUGAUCUUUGGAACGGUCAAGGAAGGGGUUUAGGAGAUUUUGGAUGAGCGUCUGGGCGCAUUUAUUGUUGAGGUUAUGACUAUUGUUGGAGCUCGCACUCCUUCUUUCCGUGAGUUCCGUGCUUGUGGAGCUCUCGCGUUCUUUGGAGAGAAGGACCUCAUUUCCAGUAGGAGAUGGCUAGCAGAUAUGGCUAACGUGUUCAAGAUGAGUUUCAGCCCGAGAGGUCGAAUGUCAGAUUUGCCCCCUGUCUUCUAAAGGAUAGAGCUCGAGAUUGGUGGGAGGAUGUAUACUUCACUUUGAGAGGCGAAGCCCUAGAUACGGUGACUUAGGAUGAGUUUGUGAUCCGGUUUAAGGCUGAGUUCACACCAGCUAUUGAGGUUCAACAGUUGGCGAGGAAGUUUCAGGAUGUUCGUCGGACUACAGAGACUAUGGCAAAGAUCACUGCCAAGUUCCGGUAUAGAGCUUUAUUGGUUCCGCAAUAUCUAACGGAUGAGGAGAUGAAGAAGGUAAGGUAUCAUGAUAUGCUGAGGGAUGACAUUAGGGAGUUCGUGAGUAUUUUAGGGUGUAAGACCCUUAAUGAUAUGAUUUCCAGAGCUCGAGAGCGUGAAAUCGAUUUGGAGCAUCUGGGGAAGAGAGAGCCCGAGCAUGUGUAGACAGUUGAGGGUCCUGCGAAGAGACCAAAGACUUCCGAUCAACGAUUGAGGGGCCAACAGGGCUGGGGUCAGUGCAGCACGUGCGGGAAGCAGCACGAUGAUGUUAGUUGUUCUAGGGGCAUGGACUUCUACAAGUAUGGAAGGGUUGGUCAUGUCAGCCGGGAUUGUCCUCAGGGGGCAAGCCCGUUAUGUUUUCACUGCAACCAAGUGGGCCACAAGAAGGCCGACUGUCCGAUGUUGAAGGGUGGAACAGUGAGUGCACCUGCUCCGGUUACUUUGAAGAUCACUGAUGGUCGUGAGGACAGGGCAGGAGCCCCAGCAGAGAGGAGUCGAGCAUUGCAAUGUUAGUCAGGGGAGGCCAGGGUUCCAGCAUGUGCUAUUACCGGUAUGUUAUUUUUUUCUUCUUCUUGAUUAUUAUCUGUAAUUAUAUCGCUUUGGGAUUUUAUAUCGGUUUGGGUAAGCAUUAUCUUUGGUUUAGUUCUCUAUUAUUGUUUGGGUAUAUCAUCAAGAAUUGUUAUAUGCCAUUUUGCAUGCCAUGAGUCAGUGGUAGGUCGGAUCUGAGCUGGUUUCAGUUUGUUUGGUUGUUGUUCUGGUACAUUGAUGUGGUCAAUCCAGGAGUAUCGUUGGAAGGUCUUUGGUCGGAUUAGCAGGAUAGUUCUCCAAUGAAGUCAGAGAUCAGUUGUGUUAGCAUUUGAUUGGGUGAGAUCGACGGUCGUCUAUGGAAGAACCUUUGGGUUUAAUCACCACCGUUGCUAAGGAAUGAGCGUUAGAAAGAAGAUGGUGAUGGUUGUCGCACGAGUUUGGUUGGUCACUGGAAGUGCUAGAGGAAUUUUUUUAUCGCAAGGGUUAUGGUCUUUGUCACCAGCAUAAAAAACUUAAGGAUUUGGGUGUUGUAUCAUGAGAAGCGAUUAGGGUCGUCGGACUUGCUGAGAUUUCGAGGAGUGUUCAUCUGGAUUUCAAGAGUUGUGUAGUCACUGGGAUUGGCUAGUGAUGGAACACCAAUAUUGGUAAGCGCAGGUUGUCGACGGUUUAAAUUAUAAGGAAGUAGGAUAGGUUGGGAAUCCAUCAAAUUUUGUGGGUUGGGAAAGCUUCGACGAAUCCAAGCGGGGGAGAAUCGUUUAGAUUUUCAGAAGCCGAAUUAGGAGUGAAACUAGGAUGAGUGAAGGCAGUGAUGAAGUUGGUGAUUGUCUCCUAUUAGUAUUAUAGAUGAAGAUAGAGGAAUGCAAACUAGCUAACUCCUCUAUCAGCGAAAAGAGAGAGCCAAUACAUGACAGGGGGGAGAAGUGAAGCAGCUGUUUCACAUCCCAGUCGAAAGGGGAGACGCCUUUAAUAGUCGUCUGGAUUGAAAAAUUGUGUAAGUUGGGAGUUCAUGAAACUUCCAACAGCUGGUGGGCGUCUUCGUUGUGAUGGAUAGCAGGCAUAUUGAUGGAUCCAGGUUGAGAGUUGUGUUAGAGCCUCUCUGUCUGUUCUUGUCUAAUUAAGGCUUUGUGGUUCGAAGCAUGACCUGAACACCUGAUUGGGGUAUAGUCUGAUGUGUGUUCGACUCAGGAUAAGCAUAGAUGGAUUGGUAGAUGAGCGGUAAGAGCAUGGGCGGUGGCCAUGGUAAGAUAUGAGUGAAGUCAGACUGUGGGGUACCGUAACAUUCACUAGAUUGGCGGGUGGUAUAUGAGUGAUGUCAAACUGCGGGGUAGCCGUAGCAUUCACCAGAUGGGUAAGUGGUAUAGGAGUGUUGUAAGACUGCGGAAUGGACCAUAGCAUUCACCGGUUCUUAUGUAGCUGUGAAGGCAUGGAAAUCCUAUGAUGUGGCUUGUAGAUUUCUUUAGAUAGGGAUUAGACCAGAGUGGGUCAGGUUGUGAGACUGUGGGAAGGCCACAACAUUCAUGGAAUUAAGGAAGUGGUGGGUCGUAUGAGGCCGAUUGUGAUAUAAGACUACAGAUGGUCAUGUAGCAUUCACUUUUAGCAUUGGAUUUCGUGGCGUCGGUAGAUGGUUGGUUAUGAUCGAUUGCAUCGAAAAGGUUGUCGGAGCCAUAGUGGCAAGAUUGCUGGGACAAUUCUUGUCAAGAUGAGGCCUUCGUUUGGAUCGCGUGGUGCGACAGUGUAAGACUAAUUGUCUCGGCAACCGGGUGGAAAUCUGGUGAAUCAGUUAUUCGGAAGGUAAGUUGGGACCAGGGAGGCCUCGGUUGCUUUUGGAAAGCGGCUAAGGGGCAACAAGAUAAGUCGAUGAGGUAUUAAUGAUUUGGGACUCGAAGGUGGAGUCGCUUGUUAUUCGGUAAAUAUGUUAAGUCACUUGCAGCUUGGAUUAAAUAAUCUCAGAGUAAUUGAUUCGACCCUACUGUGUAGCUCUCGUAUUAGUCUAACCGUUGCAGAGAUGAGUCUUUUACUCGAAGAAUUAUCUAAGUCUUUUGUCAAGUAAGAGUGUUCUGCAACAAUGUAUGGUCAGUGAUUCGCAGCGAGUUGUCUGUUAGGGAGUCAGACAGGUUUUCAGAACUUCGGAUUUCGGACAAGGUAGUAAGGAUUAUUCAUCGGGGGUUAACUUUAGAUAUGUGAAGAUCUGUUCCUUCCGUCUGUAUCAGAGUUGUGGAUGGGCUAUUCAGGUUAUCUGGUUUGGCUGGGUGUUAUUAAAGCGCGAUUUCGAGGACGAAAUCCAAUUUAAGUGGGGAGAGUUGUAACACUCGGUUUUAAAUCGCUUUAUUAUUUGGGGCCAUGGCCCGAAUAUUAGUUGUCACAAGGAUUAGGGCCUUGGGGAAAGAGAUAAUUGGACCCUUUUUGGAUGCGGUUAGUAUCUAUUAGGUGAUCCGAGAGUUCGGUUGCGUUUCGGAGCCCAAGGGUAUAACUGUAAAUUGUCAGUUCGGACCUUUAUGAAUUUUGGGUUUUUGCUCGGGAAAUCUUAAAGCGAGGAUGAGUUGAUAGAAGUGUAGAGCUUCUCGUUACCUUCCUGUGGAUAUAACGAACGUCGAAAAUUGACUUAGAACGAAGGAGUUAUGGCCAUUUGGAAUUUAAGUGUUUGAAGCUUUGAUGAGUACGCAGGGCGUAAUCAUUAUGUACGCAGGGCGUAAUGGAGGAAGUGGUCACGGGUGGCAUUUGAGUACACCGGGCAUACUCAAGGUGUAACACCCUGUUCUGAUCGAUUCCUAGCCUGAGGGUGUGGGCCGUAUAUCGGUCAUCAUAAGGAUUAGGGCCUUUGAAAAGGUAGGAUUUAGGCCCAUUUGGGUGCGGGUGAUGUAUUAGAAGUGAUUUGGGUGUCGGUUCGUGUUUUGGAACCUAGGCGUAUUUCGGUAAAGUGGCAGUUCGGGCUUUUAGUGGAAAAUGGAUUUUUGUUCGGAAGGCCUUAAGAAAGGUUUGACCUUUUUUAGAAGUGUAGAGCUUCUCGUCACCUUUCCGUGGAUAUAAGGAUCAUCAGAAUCGGACUUGUAACGAAAAAGUUAUGGCCUUCGGAAGUUUCGUGGGUUUCAGGCUUAGCCGAGUACGCGGGGCAUACUAGGGAAAAAGGGAUUACGCUGGGCGUAAUGACCAGGAGUGGUCGCGAAGGUUCUCUGG